AGGGAUGUAGCUCAGUGGCAGACCAUCUGCCCUGUGUCCAGAAGGUCCCUGGUUCAUUCAGGCAUCUCCA